AUUGAACGCUAGCGGGAUGCUUUACACAUGCAAGUCGAACGAGUGGCGGACGGGUGAGUAAUAUAUCGGAACGUGCCCAGUAGCGGGGGAUAACUACUCGAAAGAGUGGCUAAUACCGCAUACCAUCGGAUGUGCCCAGAUGGGAUUAGCUAGUAGGUGGGGUAAAGGCUCACCUAGGCGACGAUCCCUAGCUGGUCUGAGAGGAUGACCAGCCACACUGGAACUGAGACACGGGCCAGACUCCUACGGGAGGCAGCAGUGGGGAAUAUUGCACAAUGGGCGAAAGCCUGAUCCAGCCAUCCCGCGUGUGUGAUGAAGGCCUUCGGGUUGUAAAGUACUUUUGGCAGAGAAGCGGUAUCUGCAGAAUAAGCACCGGCUAACUACGUGCCAGCAGCCGCGGUAAUAC
rnacentral:rRNA from 1 species